UGGGGAAUAUUGGACAAUGGGCGCAAGCCUGAUCCAGCAAUGCCGCGUGUGUGAAGAAGGCCUUCGGGUUGUAAAGCACUUUUAUCAGGAGCGAAACGCUGUCGGCUAAUACCCGGCGGAACUGACGGUACCUGAGGAAUAAGCACCGGCUAACUUCGUGCCAGCAGCCGCGGUAAUACGAAGGGUGCAAGCGUUAAUCGGAAUUACUGGGCGUAAAGCGUGCGUAGGCGGUUUCUUAAGUCUGCUGUGAAAUCCCCGGGCUCAACCUGGGAAUGGCAGUGGAUACUGGGAGGCUAGAGCGUGUCAGAGGGUGGUGGAAUUCCCGGUGUAGCGGUGAAAUGCGUAGAGAUCGGGAGGAACAUCAGUGGCGAAGGCGGCCACCUGGGACAACACUGACGCUGAGGCACGAAAGCGUGGGGAGCAAACAGGAUUAGACACCCUGGUAGUCCACGCCCUAAAACGAUGCGAACUGGAUGUUGGUCUCAAACUCGGAGAUCAGUGUCGAAGCUAACGCGUUAAGUUCGCCGCCUGGGGAGUACGGUCGCAAGACUGAAACUCAAAUGAAUUGACGGGGUCAUAGCUGUUU
rnacentral:rRNA from 1 species